rnacentral:lncRNA from 1 species
AAUCAAAUUCAAAACAACUCAAAGAAAUUUCAAACAAACAAUAAAAUUCUUAAAGAAAUAUUAGAAUGAUCACAAAUUUUACUCAAAUAUAUGUCAAUUCAACCUUAAUUUAAUUCUAAUUAAAACCCUAUUGAAUUUUACUCAACUUUAGACCAAACCUAAUUAAAUCUUAAACCCUAAUAAUUCCUAAAUCCUAAAUCAAAUCCUAAACAAAUCUUAAAUUAAAUCCUAUUUCAAACCCUAAAUCCUAAACCAAACCCUAAAUCAAAUCCUAACCAAAUCCUAAACCCUAAUCCAAACCCUAAUCCAAACCCUAAUCCAAACCCUAAUCCAACCCUAAACUCUAAUCCAAAUCCUAAAUCCUAAACCAAAUCUUAAAUCAAAUACUAACCAAACCCUAGUCCAAACUCUAAUCCAAACCCUAAAUCAAAUCCUAAUCCAAAUCCUAAAUCAAACCCUAAUCAAAUCCUAAAUCCCAAUCCAAAUCCUAAUCCAAACUCUAAAUCCUAAUCCAAAUCCUAAUCCAAAUCCUAAUCCAAACCCUAAACCAAACCCUAGCCAAACCCUAAUCCAAAUCCUAGUAAUUCCUAUGACAGAUUUAAACCUCAAUAUCUAAUGAAUAAACCGUUGAUCUCAAUUCAAAAUUUGCAUACUUCUUAAAAAUCAAGUUCAAAAUAAGCAAAUUUUUUUUGAAAAGGAUCGGAGUUACCAAAUUGACGAAAACCUCAAAAAUGUGUUCGGGUGUUAGCCGGCCUCCUUCUCCAAUCUUGUUGCCAACCUUCCAGAGCCAAUUUCUCUUUUGUGUGCCGUUCGAUUGGUUUCAAAUUUCUCAUGGACAUAGUAAAACAAGUCUAAUAUCCUCUCACAUAAGUUUUACUCCAAUCCAACUAGUAGAUUUCAUGAAAUCUUAAAAACCCUCACUAGACCUAAAAUUCUACUUUCUAAGACCUUGACUCACUUAAACGUCAAUAUCUCUCAGUUCAACCGUUAGAUCAAGCUCAAAUUCACAACAUAUAUUCAACACAACUAUAACCAUGAAUCCAAAAAAAUUACCCGUAGAUCUGCAACAAAACUCUCGAAAUCACUCAAAACAUAAACCCUAUUUUAUUUCAUAAAAUCCAAGUCAUCCGAAAAAAAACUCAACUUUGCAAAGCUCUUACAAAUUCAUAUCAACUCCAAAUCAUCCAAAAUCAACGCCCAUAGAAACCCUAUCCAACCUUCUCUCCGAUCUGCCAAAGAGUCCCGGAGUCGUUGUCGAGACUCGGUUUUGUGCCUUAGGGUCUGAUUUCGACCCUGGUUCAUAACCAGCUCUCUUUGGGUAUCAAUAUCUAGUUUCUAAGUAAUUUUUUUCUAGAAUUUACUCUUAACUUUCUUCUAAAGAUUCCUAUAUCAUUUAUUUUCCCAAUAUACUUUGAUUUGCCUUACUUAUGGUACUACAAAGUAAGUAGAAGUCACCUUUCUAAAAGACAGCAUUGAUACCUUUUAAUUUUUCUAUCCCUUUGGCUAUUAACUAUAUUUCUAAGAUAAUUUGUUCUAAUACUUUGAACAAAGAUCUCUUAAAUUAUAAUAAUCUCCACAUUCUUUCACCUAUUAAUCGUUUUACAUCACGACAUCCACCGUCUUUGAAUCUGUGUAUCCUCUGGCAUGCACCAAUGAUUCUUCAAUAUGUUGAUGUAGAAUGUUCUUCAUCUUGGUACAAUUCUUGAUCUUCAAUUUGCUCUUCUAUUCCAAUCUCAAUAUCUUGUAUUUGAGUUUGUUCUUCAUCAAAAGAAAUACCUUGAUCUCUUUGUUUAAAUAACUUGAUUCGUUUGCCUGCUAUGGGUAGCUUCAAUUCUAUGCCAUAAAGUUCUUGUAAUGAAUAUGUUCCAUUGUUGUGUACCCUUUUGACAAUAUAAGGUCCAAACCAUCUCUUUGGAAACUUCUUCAUAGUGCUAUGUUGAUUAUCUAAGCUACUAUCAUAAACUAAUACCCAAUCACCAUCUUCAAUAGCCUUGGGUCGUAAUCGAUGUUUUUUAUCAAAUCUUUCUUUAUUCUUUUCUCUUGCUUCUUUCAAUUUUUUUAUUGCUAUUUCAAUAUCGUUGGAUCUUCUUUCUAGUUGUUGAAUCCGUAGUGCUAAAAAUUCUUCUCUGUUGAGAUCAUUCUUCCAAGGCAAUACACCCCAUGUAAGUACUACAUCUUCUUUUGGCAUUACUGGUUUUUGACCAUAUACUAAUUCAGAAGGCAUAUAACCUGUUAUCGAACUAUGAGUUGUACGAUCUGUCCAUAGUACAAAUGUUAGUAGUCUAGGCCAUUCAUGUGCUUUUCCAUUGCAUGCCUUUACUAAUGCCUUAACAAUAGGUGAAUGCCUACGCUUACUUUUACCAUUACCUUCUGGAUUAUAUGCAGUUGUUAAAGGAAGUUUAAUUCCUAUCCUAUUAAAGAAUUCUUGUGCUUCCUUUGCAUCCAAUUCACCUCUGUCUGCCGUAAUUUUUCCAAUACAACCAUAACGACAAAUAACUUCUUCUAAUAGAAAUUGACAUACACCUUUAGUAUCCUUUGUUCUUAAUGCUCGUCCUUCAACCAUAUUUGAUAAAUCUUCUCGUGCAAGUACCAAAUACUUCAUUUGUCCAAGUCCCAUAGGCAUUGCCACUAAAUCCACCACCCAUUUGUAAUGUAAAGCCAAAAGGUAUGUUGGAUGUAAUCCAUCUCGAUGUCGAAUAUUUGAAUAUACUUGGCAAGUCCCACAAGAUUCUACAAAUUUUGCUAUGUCUUUGUACAUUCCCUUCCACCAAUAUUUUUUCUUUAACUUAGUGAAUGUUGUCCAAAUACCUCGAUGCCCUGCUCAUAAAUUUUCAUGAAAUUCUUUAAUAAUCUUUUGUUGAACUUCUAAACUACAUAUCACCCUUUGUGGUACUUCUCCUCUCUUUUUUGGAUGAUUCCAUAAAUAUCCAUCAUGUUAAAAAUAUCCAUAGGUUUUCUUAUGAAUUUUCUUAAAUUCUUGAUCUGCCCAAUCUUUUUGUCGUUUUAAUGUGCUCAAAUACUCUUCAACAUCUUUCCAUUCAUUUUCAUAUAAAUCUCUUAAAAAUGCUUCUAAUGGUAUAUUAAAACAUACACCCUUUUCUUUUGAUAACGCAUUGGUAUAAAAUUUUGUACCCACAUCAUCUUCUAAAUCAAUCAUCUUUUCUUCAUCAUUAUACCUUGCUCUCGAUAACAUAUCUGCAACUGAAUUUUCUUUCCUUGCAAUAUAUUUAAAUUCAGGAUUCAUAGAUUUGAUAUAUGCUAUCCACCUCAACAUAGCAAUAUCAAGAGUUGAACAACUUGUAAUCAUGCCUAACAAAGGUAGACAAUUUAUUUCUAUAACUAUUGAUGCUCCAAUCAAGUACUCUUUUUCAUUUUUCAUAGCUAUUACUAUAUCCCAUAAUUCUCUUCUCUUUUGAUUUACACAUAUGCCUUUUGCCUAGAAUUCAAUACCUUUACUCCAAAUCUUACUACAUAUCUAUUUCCUUGUUGAUCAUCUUGCCCAAUUGCCCAACCUAUUCUAAUUGGACUUGCAUCAACUGUUAAUACCAUUGGCCUUCCACCUUCAUAAUUUACUUUCUUCAAAGUUGGAGAUGAAGAAAGAAGUUCUUUCAAUUUUUCCAUAGCUUUCCAUUAUUUUUCUUUCCAUUGAAAUUUUUGAUUCUUUCUUAACAACUUAUAUAAUGGAUCUGCUAUAUGUGCAAAGUGAGGUAUCCAUAUAUGAUAGAAAAUACAUGCUCCUAAAAAUCUUCUCACUUCCGUUGUAUUUGUACAUUCUUUCAUCUUUUUAAUAAUAUCAAUCUUUUCUAUACUUGGCUUACGUCCAUAUGAACCACAUAUGUGUCCUACCACCAAAAUUUCUUUUACUCCAAACAUUGAUUUUGUCCUCGAUAAGGUUAAAUGAACUUCUUCCAAUCUUUUCAAAAUCUUCUCACAAUCUUCAAUAUGAUCUGCCACAAACUUCCUACAUCCCUUUGAAUCUAAAGUUUCAUCCUUUCUUUCUUCUUCACAUCCCUUAAUAGGUACAUCAUCUAAGAAAGGUAUUAUUAUUUUUGGAAUAAAAUCUCUUAAUACCUUAUACAUUCCAUUCAUCAUAUGUGCUAUAGAAUUUGUAGCCCCUUGUGGUAAUGUGUACAUUCUAACCAAUCCUAACGGUGUCUUCAUAGUUGUCAAAUCCCUACUUUGUAUUGCCAAUUGGAAUUGAUCAUAACCUGAAUAAAGAUCACCCAUUGAGUAGAUAGCUCUUCCAACAAAUUCUUCUGCAAAUUCAUCCACAAUUGGACUUGAAUCCAUAUUUUUAAUAGUCACUUUAUUUACGGGUUGCAUAUCUUAUAUAAAUCUCAUUGUUCCAUUUUUCUUUGGCACUAUAAACCAUCGAUUAGAAUAAGGUGCUAUAGAUGGUUCCAAAAUUCCUAUUUUAAUCUUUUCAUUGAUUAAAUCUACUAACUUAGAUAAAUGCGCUCUUGAUACUGGAAUUGGUCGCAAAUUCCAUGGUUCAUGAGGAAUAGUAAAAAUAACCAUGGGUGCUACAAUAUAUGAAUCAACACACCCAAUUUCAUGUGCUUCAAAUGCAAAAGCUUUUCCAUGAUGUGAAAGCAUAUCCCUAAAACAUUUUUCUUCACAUUUUGUCAAAAAUCCAUCACCUCCAACAUUUAACCCAUCUAAUGUAACAUCCGUAAAUUUAUGCCCUAUCUUCCUUGCAUCUCUUAGAUUUGGUUGUGUCGAUGCUCUACUUAUCAUUUCUUCACAAUCACAUGGUAGUGGCAAAGCCACUAGUUUGACCUUCUUUGCUACUGAUUCAUACUUAGUUUCAAUAUAUACCUCUUGGCGACUUAAUUUUUUUUUAAAUCCUUGAAUUUCAUCAUAAAAUUCUUUAGAACACACAUUAAUAACUCUAUUCUCUACUUGUAACCCACAUUGUAAUAGAUAAUUUAAUUCCCCCAUAGUAUCUGCAAAACCUACUUCUUCAUAUGUUCCUGAAAUAAAUUCAUUUUCAACCAAUUCUCCAUUUUCUUUCAAAAUUUUUUUUAUAUUUUUAAUAUAACAUCUGUCCCUCUUUUUCAUUUUGUCAAUAGUUUUAAAAGUCAAUACAUAAUCUUGUGUCAUCCCAAUAAGUCCGAUAGAUAACAAUUCUUUUUCUAAAUUAAGCAAAAGCAUUUCUUUCUCUAAUCCAUUGCAACCCCGCUUUACAAUGGUAUGUGGUAAAAAUCCUCAAGGUCUUCAAAUUUCUCAUUUGAUAUUGGUUUCUCUCUCAACUUAUCACGAUUUCUCUCAUGAUUAGCACAAAUAGUUAAAAAUUAAACUGCUUUCAUGCCAUCUUAGCUUCUUAUUCUUGCAUAAGCUGAACCAUCAUCCAUUACUUUUGUUUCCAUUCGUGUGGAAAUAAUAUAUGGUUGUCCCAAUAUAAUAGGAUAUGUAGGCAUGUCUUGCAAAAAGAAAUUUUGUUCAUGAAUAACAUUUCCAAUUGUCACUUUGAUAUUUGGACAUGCUCCAUACAAAUCUCCUUUUGAAUUAUUCGCAACUCUUAUCAUCCAUCCAUGUUCAGUAUCAAUAGGCCAUUUUCUCUUGUUAUGUAAUUCCUUUGAUAUCAAAUUGAUUUCAGAACCAUGAUCAAUUAAUGCUACAACUGGUUCUUCUAAAUUUCCCAAUUUUAUUAAAGUCUCCGUUGUAGCCCUUGCCCAAUGACUUCUAGAAUAAUGGCUAGAAGCUUGAAUGACAUCUUCUUUUUCUGCAAACCUUACUUGCAAGACAUCUCCAAAAUUUUAUAUUUCAUCUUCUUCAUCUUCAUUUCUUUCUAUUGCUCUUGUUUCUUGUGCAUUUGAUGUCAUAGAGUCUCCUAUAGAUUGUCGUUUUUUUUUUAUUGUAUCAAUUAUAACUUCAUGAAACUCACGCUUUGCAAUUCCUAGAAUUUCACCAAUUGUGAAUUCAAUCUUUCCACUUAAAAUCCACUCCUCCAAUACCUUCUUCAAAUCUGUAGCUGCUUCAAUAUCUGAUUAUAAUUUAUAAGCAAGAGCCUUUGCUUUUUCUUUUUUAAUUUCCCUCUCUUUUGUAGAAAUGCUCUCCAUUGUUUCUUCAUGUAUAGAAUUCUUUUGUUGUCGUACUUUUUCUCCCCUUGUAAUUCUUUUUGAGGGCCCUUCAUUAUUUUCAUUUCUCCUUCGUUUUUCUUCUACUAAUGCUUCAUGUUGAUUCCUUGCAAUAUGAGCAUGUACAGAUAGUCUAUCUACUGGAUCAUCCCACCCAAUAAUUUUUCGAAUGUUAUUACCAACAUGUUUCAAAUCAUCUCUAGUAAAAUUUCUCCUUUCAAUAUACCUCAUUGCACUUGUCCACAAAGAACUAGAUUCUAUUGGAAAUUCAAGGUUUAUACUUAAACAUCUUCUAGUAUCUGCUUCUACCCAAUAUGUUGAUGCUUCAUUGCUUGAGAUUGUCUGCACUUUAAAAGUAUCUCCAAUAAAUAACUUCAUUCCUCCUUUACCAAAAUUUGUUUCUAAUUUUUCUCCAUUUUCUUUUGAGUGCAUCAUACCAUCUUUAAAAAAAACAACUCCUUUACAUAAUGCCUCUGUAAAUUCUUCACAUUCCCUCCUCGAGUGAUCUAUGUUGUCACACCACAUGCAUCUAUGUACUACACCCUCCAUUAGCCUUGGUUUUUGUUUUGUUGAUAUUCUUGGUGAUUGACCUUUUUCUUCAAGUUUUGCAAAUUUUAUUUGCAAAUCUCUCAUCCCACGUAUGAUUUCAUCAAUUCCUGUUUCUUCUUUCUUUGAUGUAACUAUUGAAGGUUGAAUUAAAGAUGUCGGAUGGAUACUAGACACCUUUAUCUUAAAUGGUUGUAAUGGUCUUUGAUCACCCCCCAUAUCUUUUCUCUUUUCUCUUUUUGUCAUCAUCCUUACAACAUCCUCUACCCUUUCCCAAUUUGUUGUCAAUCCUUCAUCUUCUUCUUUAUCUUCAAGCAUGAAUUCCAACUUAUCUUGCAACUUUCCAUCAGCUGCUUGAAGAAAGAGCUCUACCUUACUUGAAUCCAAUAACUCUCUUUCUUUCUUUGAUAAAGAAAAAUAUUGCUUUUCAAACUCCCUUAAUAAUUCUAUUGCUAGAAGAUCCUUCUUUGGCUUUUCAAUCCAUUCAAAAAAAGACCUUUUUGUAACCCUAUCACUAUUUUCUAAGAAAAACUCAUCCUUCAAAGCUUGAGAAAAUUUCUCCCAUGAACCUCGAAAGUGUUGAAUAAUAAACUUAACUUAAUUUCUUAUCUCUCGUGCAGAGCCUAAUUCAAAUAAUUGAACCAUCUCACUUUCUGAAAUAUGCUUCAAUUCCAUUUCCUUUACAUAACAUCUUAAAUAUUUUAUAAUAUCCUUUCCUUUAAAUUAAUCGAUCUUGUCCACGACCGCUUGUAAUGCUUUGUUAGCUAUACUCUCUUUGCGAUUUUUAACCUGUUGCUCUUAUUAUUGCAUGAAUAAGGUCAAAGCUUCGAACAUGCUUGUGGAAUUAGGAUCAAAAUGCAUACCUUGUCCUCCAAAUGAAGCUCUUCUUCCAACUCCACUUGAAGCACUAUCCAAAUUGCCUCCUUCCAUUCUCCUUUAAUUCCUUCUCCAACAUUCAAAUAAAAAAAUAAAUAAAAAUAAUAAUAAUAAAUUCCUUCCACCUCAAGCGUUUUAUGUCGGGUUCACCAAAUAUGUCAUAAUGUGUUAAGUCCUGCUUGAGAAUGCUCCGAGCACCUGGAUGUAGAAGGAAGAAUAGAAAUUGCGAUAACAAAAUCCUAAUUCUAAUAGAAUACUAACAAUGCUCUAAUUAGACUAUAAUAAUGGUAAACAAACGUAAUCAAAUUCAAAACAACUCAAAGAAAUUUCAAACAAACAAUAAAAUUCUUAAAGAAAUAUUAGAAUGAUCACAAAUUUUACUCAAAUAUAUGUCAAUUCAACCUUAAUUUAAUUCUAAUUAAAACCCUAUUGAAUUUUACUCAACUUUAGACCAAACCUAAUUAAAUCUUAAACCCUAAUAAUUCCUAAAUCCUAAAUCAAAUCCUAAACAAAUCUUAAAUUAAAUCCUAUUUCAAACCCUAAAUCCUAAACCAAACCCUAAAUCAAAUCCUAACCAAAUCCUAAACCCUAAUCCAAACCCUAAUCCAAACCCUAAUCCAAACCCUAAUCCAACCCUAAACUCUAAUCCAAAUCCUAAAUCCUAAACCAAAUCUUAAAUCAAAUACUAACCAAACCCUAGUCCAAACUCUAAUCCAAACCCUAAAUCAAAUCCUAAUCCAAAUCCUAAAUCAAACCCUAAUCAAAUCCUAAAUCCUAAUCCAAAUCCUAAUCCAAACCCUAAAUCCUAAUCCAAACCCUAAUCCAAACCCUAAUCCAAAUCCUAAACCAAACCCUAGCCAAACCCUAAUCCAAAUCCUAGUAAUUCCUAUGACAGAUUUAAACCUCAAUAUCUAAUGAAUAAACCGUUGAUCUCAAUUCAAAAUUUGCAUACUUCUUAAAAAUCAAG